AUGGAAGAUGUUAAGUGUGAAUUAUCAUAUGAGGAGGAGAUAAUAUAUGUGCCAAAUACUGGCAAGAGAUCAAGAGCAAAGAAGAGAGCUGUGAGGAAGUGGUAUAAUGAGGAACUUCAACAACCUGAAGAUCAAAUUUGUUGGCAGAUGUGUUUUGAGGAUGUGUAUCAGUUCAGAAGGGCCCUGGUGAACUUGCAUGUAACUCAGAGGAGGAAUUUCCACUAUCAUAGGAAUUGCAAGGACAGGAUAAUAGUUGACUGCAGUCAAGAGGGUUGCAACUUUCAUAUGACUGCCUCACAAGUGGGAAAAGAGAAAACCUUCUGCAUAAAGAAGCUCCAACUGCAGCACACAUGUCCUGUAAUUGGUGAGAACUGCAAAGUGCCCAUUAAGUAUGUGGCAAAGUCAAUUGAGAACAGCUUAAGGACAGAUCCUAGCACAUGUGUUGAUACUGUGAUAGAGAACACCAAGGAAAAGUUUGGUGUGGAGGUAGGCAAGAACAAGGCAUACAGGGCAAGAAAACUAGCUUUGGCAGUGGUCCUGGGUGAUCAGGAAAGGCAGUACACAAGAAUCAGGGACUAUCUUCAGACAGUGCUUGACACAAACCCUGGAUCUAGAUGUAUAGUUACUACUAGAGUUGUGAGAGAGAACCCAAAUACCAAUCCCAGAUUUCAUAGGUUGUUCAUGUGUCUUGGAGCAUCAAUUGAAGGUUUCUUGAAAGGAUGCAGGCCAUUCAUAGGUUUGGAUGGGUGCUUUGUAAAGCUGAGCACAAGACAACAAAUUCUAGCUGCCACUGCAAGGGAUGGUAAUAACAAUAUCUAUCCUAUUGCUUUUGGAGUGGUUGAAGUAGAGGACACACCUAGCUGGAGUUGGUUCCUCACACAGUUGAAAAUAGCUAUUGGUGGAGAAAAAAGGCAGUUUGGAUACUAUACAAUUAUCUCUGAUAGGCAGAAGGGACUUCUAAAUGCCAUAGAUGCAAUCUUUCCAAAUUGUCCUUAG
rnacentral:rRNA from 1 species